UGCGGGUCCAGGCCUGACGGGGGCAGUUCUGGCGCACUGUGAGCUGUGACCAGCCCGAGCUGAGAUGUCGGGAGCCCAGGGGAGGGGGCACUUACCACAGAGGCGCUGUUCUUAACAUCAAUGUUAUUUUCUCAGAGCCUGCUGAGCGGGGCCCUUUGCCCCGGGGCCCUGGCUCUGAGUUCGGGCUCCACCUCCCAGGCCCCUUCCACCACCCACGUGGCUGGCUGAGCGCCCAUCCACCUGCCCUGUGCCGCGGGCGGGGGGCUUUCAGGAGGCCCGGCUGUGCCCCAACAAUGCUGCUUUGUGCCAAGAGGGACCCAGAGCCUUGUAAAGGAGGAGCCCCUGCCACCAUCUCCCCAGUUUUGGAGGCACUUCGGGGGAGCAGGAGUUCCCAGGAUUCUUGAGGGCUGUCUGCAGCCCCUG
ensembl:lncRNA